rnacentral:tRNA from 1 species
GCCUCCUUAGCUCAGUCCGGUAGAGCAGCUCCCUUUUAAGGAGAUGGUCGUAGGUUCAAAUCCUACAGGAGGCA